GAUGAACGCUGGCGGCGUGCCUAAUACAUGCAAGUCGAGCGAACGGACGAGAAGCUUGCUUCUCUGAUGUUAGCGGCGGACGGGUGAGUAACACGUGGAUAACCUACCUAUAAGACUGGGAUAACUUCGGGAAACCGGAGCUAAUACCGGAUGAUAUUUUGAACCGCAUGGUUCAAAAGUGAAAGACGGUCUUGCUGUCACUUAUAGAUGGAUCCGCGCUGCAUUAGCUAGUUGGUAAGGUAACGGCUUACCAAGGCAACGAUGCAUAGCCGACCUGAGAGCGUGAUCGGCCACACUGGAACUGAGACACGGUCCAGACUCCUACGGGAGGCAGCAGUAGGGAAUCUCCCGCAAUGGGCGAAAGCCUGACGGAGCAACGCCGCGUGAGUGAUGAAGGUCUUCGGAUCGUAAAACUCUGUUAGUAGGGAAGAACAUAUGUGUAAGUAACUGUGCACAUCUUGACGGUACCUAAUCAGAAAGCCACGGCUAGGUACGUG
rnacentral:rRNA from 1 species